UCUGUGACCCCAUGAACUGUAGACUACCAGGCUCCUCCGUCCAUGGGAUUCUCCAGGAGCUGUCAGAACAGGAUGUCAAGAGUUCCUCUGGGCUCUGGGGUGUCAACUGAUGGAGGAGGAGGAGAAAUAGUUUAUUGGUAGUGUGAAAUGCUUGGAGAUGAGCACAUAUCCUUCUAUUCUGCCAUCUUGAACCAAUCUCUGCAAUUGCUUUUUAUAUGUUGAUCUUUUUUUUGCAGAUGCACAUUAUCAGGUUAAGGAAUUUCCCAUUUCUUCUGAGUUUAAGUAUU